UCCAACUUUUGAUACAUAUGUCGAAAUGCGAGGAAGAAAUAAGAAGAGAUACAAGUUCAGUCACUCACCCGAAGUGUUUUUGAUCAAGUAGCUGCCAAAUUGACCGUCCGGCGACAGGGCUAAACUAUAGUAUAAUUUUUCGAAUACUGUUGAUCUGGCGCUAAUUCUUUCUCAGGGAACCUUAACUAGUUUGGUGCAGUGUUUAUUACCGGAACUAAUUUUGGAAGACAACUCGGACCAAAUACCGACUAAAUUAAUCGAUGCGUGGGUAUCAUGAAACCCUCGGGUUUGAUCUUCAAACGACCCGGCCAUAUGAUGUUGGAUUCGUUCACUCGCAG